CGCGUAGACGGCUGAGUAAGUUACUGGUGAAAGCCCAGCUUUUAAGGCUGGAAUUGCCGGUAAUACUGUUCAGCUUGAGUGCAGGAGAGGGAAGCGGAAUUCCUAGUGUAGCGGUGAAAUGCGUAGAUAUUGGGAGGAACACCAGUGGCGAAGGCGACUUUCUGGGCUGUAACUGACGCUGAGGCACGAAAGCGUGGGAGCAAACA
rnacentral:rRNA from 1 species